CCUACGGGAGGCUGCAGUCGAGAAUCUUCGGCAAUGGGCGCAAGCCUGACCGAGCGACGCCGCGUGCGGGAUGAAGGCCUUCGGGUUGUAAACCGCUGUCGGAGGGGAGGAAAUGCUUGGGGGUUCUCCCCCAGGCUUGACCUAUCCUCAGAGGAAGUACGGGCUAAGUUCGUGCCAGCAGCCGCGGUAAGACGAACCGUACAAACGUUAUUCGGAAUCACUGGGCUUAAAGGGUGCGUAGGCGGCGCUGAAAGUUGGGUGUGAAAUCCCUCGGCUCAACCGAGGAACCGCGCCCAAAACUACAGUGCUCGAGGGAGACAGAGGUGAGCGGAACUUAGGGUGGAGCGGUGAAAUGCGUUGAUAUCCUAAGGAACGCCAGUGGCGAAAGCGGCUCACUGGGUCUCUUCUGACGCUGAGGCACGAAAGCUAGGGGAGCGAAC
rnacentral:rRNA from 1 species